rnacentral:rRNA from 1 species
UACGGAGGAUGCAAGCGUUAUCCGGAAUUAUUGGGCGUAAAGCGUCCGCAGGUGGCACUUCAAGUCUGUCGUCAAAGACUGGGGCUUAACCCUGGAAAGGCGAUGGAAACUGAAAGGCUAGAGAGAGGUAGGGGUAGAGGGAAUUCCCAGUGUAGCGGUGAAAUGCGUAGAGAUUGGGAAGAACAUCGGUGGCGAAAGCGCUCUACUGGACCUCAUCUGACACUCAGGGACGAAAGCUAGGGGAGCGAAUGGG